GCUAAUUUAGUUUAUUUAGAAUUUUUGAUUUGUAAUUAAAUGGUUUUAUUAGCU
rnacentral:tRNA from 1 species